CGGCACCUGGCGGCGUGCUUAAACAUGCAAGUCGAACGAUGAUGCCCAGCUUGCUGGGUGGAUUAGUGGCGAACGGGUGAGUAACACGUGAGUAACCUGCCCCUGACUCUGGGAUAAGCGUUGGAAACGACGUCUAAUACUGGAUAUGAUCACUGGCCGCAUGGUCUGGUGGUGGAAAGAUUUUUUGGUUGGGGAUGGACUCGCGGCCUAUCAGCUUGUUGGUGAGGUAAUGGCUCACCAAGGCGACGACGGGUAGCCGGCCUGAGAGGGUGACCGGCCACACUGGGACUGAGACACGGCCCAGACUCCUACGGGAGGCAGCAGUGGGGAAUAUUGCACAAUGGGCGAAAGCCUGAUGCAGCAACGCCGCGUGAGGGAUGACGGCCUUCGGGUUGUAAACCUCUUUUAGUAGGGAAGAAGCGAAAGUGACGGUACCUGCAGAAAAAGCACCGGCUAACUACGUGCCAGCCGCCGCGUUAAAUACA
rnacentral:rRNA from 1 species